rnacentral:tRNA from 1 species
GUGUAGUAAUGUAACUUGCAUAAUUAAUUUUGGAUUAAUAAGAGAUAAUUACAGCUUAUCCUAUGC